CGCGGGGUGGAGCAGCUCGGUAGCUCGUUGGGCUCAUAACCCAAAGGUCGCAGGUUCAAAUCCUGUCCCCGCAACCA
rnacentral:tRNA from 1 species